rnacentral:rRNA from 1 species
UGGGGAAUUUUGGACAAUGGGCGAAAGCCUGAUCCAGCAAUGCCGCGUGUGUGAAGAAGGCCUUCGGGUUGUAAAGCACUUUUGUCCGGAAAGAAAUCCUUGGCUCUAAUACAGUCGGGGGAUGACGGUACCGGAAGAAUAAGCACCGGCUAACUACGUGCCAGCAGCCGCGGUAAUACGUAGGGUGCAAGCGUUAAUCGGAAUUACUGGGCGUAAAGCGUGCGCAGGCGGUUUGCUAAGACCGAUGUGAAAUCCCCGGGCUCAACCUGGGAACUGCAUUGGUGACUGGCAGGCUAGAGUAUGGCAGAGGGGGGUAGAAUUCCACGUGUAGCAGUGAAAUGCGUAGAGAUGUGGAGGAAUACCGAUGGCGAAGGCAGCCCCCUGGGCCAAUACUGACGCUCAUGCACGAAAGUGUGGGGAGCAAACAGGAUUAGAUACCCUGGUAGUCCACGCCCUAAAACGAUGUCAACUAGUUGUUGGGGAUUCAUUUCCUUAGUAACGUAGCUAACGCGUGAAGUUGACCGCCUGGGGAGUACGGUCGCAAGAUUAAAACUCAAAUGAAUUGACGGGGUCAUAGCUGUUUCCU